rnacentral:lncRNA from 13 species
CGGGGUGCCCCUGGCUCCUCAGCCCCUGGGUUUGCAGACCGGAGAACAGGGCUGCUGCCAGCGAAGUGGGCGGGGGUGGGGGGGGGGGGUGGGGGUGGGGGUGGGGGUGGGGGCAGGGUAGCUGUUAACUGCUAGACUUGGGCCUCUCGCCCAUUUGACAGCUGCAUUUUUAAUUCUCUUUUGGAAUAUUCCUUCUGUGUUGCAGUUUCACCGUAGCCUGAGAGCCAGCUGGAUAAACUGCUAGGGACACAGGAUUCCCGAGUGACAGCGCAGGGCAGCAGUGCUGUCGCGGUGUCCUGUUCACAUCACACCGGGAGGGAGCCGCAGGUAAUUCUGCAGACUAAAGGAGGGAAGGAGCAGGCUCACCCUGUGGGUUUUCAAGACGUUAAUUUAAGUUAAUUUAAUCUUCGUUGUCUGUACUUGACAGAAACCAUAAGGCUUUAUCCAAAGUGGUAUCUUUUGUGGUGGGUGAAACAAUUAUCAGUCAUUGUUAAGAAACAGGGUCUUCUCCUUGGCCACUGAAAAACUCUGAAAUGUGAGGAGAAAUAUCAAGGUUGUGGAUGAUCUGAUAUCAUGAAUUUUCUCAGGAAAGAGAUGCCCAGAGGUGAAAGUGUAUUGGAGCUUCCAUCUCUGUGGCUUUUUUUAAAUUAAAUUGUACUUUAGGUUCUGGGGUACAUGUGCAGAGCAUGCAGGGCUGUUGCAUAGGUACAGACAUGGCAAUGUGGUUUGCUGCGUCCAUCCCCCUGUCUCUUAUAUCUGUCAUUUCUCCCCAUGUUAUCCCUCCCAAACUCCCCACACCCCGCUGUCCCUCCCCUAGCCCCCCCCACAGACCCCAGUGUGUGAUGCUCCCUCCCUGUGUCCACGUAUUCUCACUGUUCAUCACCCGCCUAUGAGUGAGAACAUGCGCUGUUUGAUUUUCUGUCCUUGUGUCAGUUUCGCUUUUGUUAAGGUUUGGUUCCAAAUAGUGGUGUCUCCAGAGAGCUGAUGAUCUCAGAAUGCUUUUGAAUUUGCACAGCGAAGCCUUCAAGUCCUGCCUUGGCAGUUUCAACAGAAGCAUAAAGGAUUCAAGGAAUCACAGACAUGAUGGAACUGAAUAUGACAUAGUGAAAAGGAAUGAGAAGAAAACCAGUAGUCAGGAGAGUGGAGUUCUAACUGCAGCUAUAAGCAGGCAUUCAUGUUGUCGUGAACUACACACUGAGUACUGGGUGAGUCAGAACAGGUACCUGUAUGUGAGGUUGGGCUCUGUUGUCUACUUUCAAUCUGACCCUGCUUCCCUGAUUCCACCCUAG